AGCAGCCGCGGUAAUUCCAGCUCCAAUAGCGUAUAUUAAAGUUGUUGCAGUUAAAAAGCUCGUAGUUGAAUUUCGGGAUCAAUAUGUCGGUCGUGCCUUGGUACGUACUGGUAUCAUUGGUCUCUCCUUUCUGACGAACCAUGAUGUCAUUAAUUUGGUGUUAUGGGAAGUUAGGACUGUUACUUUGAAAAAAUUAGAGUGUUUAAAGCAGGCUUUAGCUUGAAUACAUUAGCAUGGAAUAAUGAAAUAGGACGUUCGAACCUAUUUUGUUGGUUCUAGGAUCAACGUAAUGAUUAAUAGGGAUAGUUGGGGGCAUUAGUAUUCAAUUGUCAGAGGUGAAAUUCUUGGAUUUAUUGAAGACUAACUACUGCGAAAGCAUUUGCCAAGGAUGUUUUCAUUAAUCAAGAACGAAGUUAGGGGAUCGAAGACGAUCAGAUACCGUCGUAGUCU
rnacentral:rRNA from 1 species